GAUAUUAGAAAACAGGAAAUCUAUAGAGAAGUUAAACAAUGUUAUCUCCAUGAACGCUUCAGAAUUUUCAGAGGUUCAAAUUGCUCUUAAUGAAGCUAAGCCUAGUGAAGAGAAGGUGAAGUCUGAAUGCCACCGGGUUCAAGAAGAAAAUGCUAGGCUUAUGAAGAAGAAAGAGCAGGUAACCGGAAUGAGAAAAUGAAAGGUCGAAUUAAGCAGAUGAUGGACGUCUCUCAGACCCAAACUACAAUAUCAGUAGUUGAAGAGGAUCUAAAACUCUUACAAUCUAAGCUAAGAGCCU